rnacentral:rRNA from 1 species
GACGAACGCUGGCGGCGUGCCUAAUACAUGCAAGUCGAGCGGAUCAUCCCUUCGGGGGUGAUUAGCGGCGGACGGGUGAGUAACACGUAGGCAACCUGCCUGUAAGAUCGGGAUAACUACCGGAAACGGUAGCUAAGACCGAAUAGCUGGUUUCCCCGCAUGGGGAGAUCAAGAAACACGGCGCAAGCUGUGGCCUACGGAUGGGCCUGCGGCGCAUUCGCUGGUUGGUGGGGUAACGGCCUACCAAGGCGACGAUGCGUAGCCGACCUGGGAGGGUGAACGGCCACACUGGGACUGAGACACGGCCCAGACUCCUACGGGAGGCAGCAGUAGGGAAUCUUCCGCAAUGGACGCAAGUCUGACGGAGCAACGCCGCGUGAGUGAGGAAGGCCUUCGGGUCGUAAAGCUCUGUUGCCCUAGACGAACGCCUGGUGGAGUAACUGCCAUCAGGGUGACGGUAUAGGAGAAGAAAGCCCCGGCUAACUACGUGCCAGCCGCCGCGGUAA